UUAACAAGGCGAAACCGCGAAUGGCUCAUUAAAUCMKUUAUGGUUCACUAGAUCGUAAAUCCUACACGGAUAACUGUGGUAAUUCUAGAGCUAAUACGUGCAAACGGCUCGUUCCCUUGUGGAGCGAGCGCAGUUAUUAGAACAAAACCAAUCCGGCCUUCGGGUCGGUUAAAAUGGUGACUCUGAAUAACCGAAGCGGAGCGUAUGGUCUCGUACCGACGCCAGAUCUUUCAAGUGACUGCUCUAUCAGCUUGUUGCUAGGUUAUGCUCCUAGCAAGGCUUCAACGGGUAACGGGGUAUCAGGGUCCGAUACCGGAGAGGGAGCCUGARAAACGGCUACCACAUCCAAGGAAGGCAGCAGGCGCGCAAAUUACCCACUCCCAGCACGGGGAGGUAGUGACGAAAAAUAACGAUGCGAGGGCAUAUUGCUUCUCGUAAUCGGAAUGGGUACACUUUAAAUCCUUUAACGAGGAUCUAUUGGAGGGCAAGUCUGGUGCCAGCAGCCGCGGUAAUUCCAGCUCCAAUAGCGUAUAUUAAAGUUGCUGCGGUUAAAAAGCUCGUAGUUGGAUCUGGGCAGCUGGAUGUGCGGUGCGCUUUACAGCGUUACUGCUCGUUUGGCGCCACAAGCCGGCCAUGUCUUGCAUGCUCUUCACUGCGUGUGCUUGGCGACCGGAACGUUUACUUUGAAAAAAUUAGAGUGCUCAAAGCAGGCGUAUGGCCUUGCAUAAUGGUGCAUGGAAUAAUGGAAUAGGACCUCGGUUCUAUUUUGUUGGUUAUCGGAGCUCGAGGUAAUGAUUAAGAGGAACAGACGGGGGCAUUCGUAUUGCGGCGUUAGAGGUGAAAUUCUUGGAUCGUCGCAAGACGAACUACUGCGAAAGCAUUUGCCAAGAAUGUUUUCAU
rnacentral:rRNA from 1 species